ACGAACGCUGGCGGCGUGCUUAACACAUGCAAGUCGAACGCGCCUGUCCUCUGGGUUUCUGGGGGUGGGGGGGGGGGCGAAGGGUGGGGAAAAAGGGGGUAACCUGCCCCCCUUCUUGGGGUAACGGGUCGGAAGGGGCGCUUAAAACGGGGAAUCCACGGUCCCCCCAUGGGGUUCGGGGGAAAGGUUUUUUUCCGGGUGGGGGAUGGGCUCGCGGCCUUUCAGCGGGUUGGUGGGGUGAUGGCCCACCAAGGCUUUGACGGGUAGCCGGCCUGAGAGGGUGACCGGUCACAUUGGGACUGAGAUACGGCCCAGACUCCUACGGGAGGCAGCAGUGGGGAAUAUUGCACAAUGGGCGCAAGCCUGAUGCAGCGACGCCGCGUGAGGGAUGGAGGCCUUCGGGUUGUGAACCUCUUUCGCCCGUGGUCAAGCCGCGACGUGGGUCGUGGUGAGGGUAGUGGGUAAAGAAGCGCCGGCUAACUACGUG
rnacentral:rRNA from 1 species